UACAGAGGGUGCAAGCGUUGUUCGGAAUUAUUGGGCGUAAAGCGCGUGUAGGCGGCCUUUCAAGUCAGGUGUGAAAGCCCUCGGCUUAACCGAGGAAGUGCGCCUGAAACUGUCGGGCUUGAGUACCGGAGAGGGUGGUGGAAUUCCCGGUGUAGAGGUGAAAUUCGUAGAUAUCGGGAGGAACACCAGUGGCGAAGGCGACCACCUGGACGGCAACUGACGCUGAGACGCGAAAGCGUGGGGAGCAAACAGG
rnacentral:rRNA from 1 species